rnacentral:tRNA from 2 species
GGGCGGUUAGCUCAGUUGGUCUAGAGCGACUGGUUUACACCCAGUAGGUCACAGGUUCGACUCCUGUACCGCCCACCA